UAGGGAAUCUUCGGCAAUGGACGAAAGUCUGACCGAGCAACGCCGCGUGAGUGAAGAAGGUUUUCGGAUCGUAAAACUCUGUUGUUAGAGAAGAACGUUGCAUAGAGUGGAAAAUUAUGCAAGUGACGGUAUCUAACCAGAAAGGGACGGCUAACUACGUGCCAGCAGCCGCGGUAAUACGUAGGUCCCGAGCGUUGUCCGGAUUUAUUGGGCGUAAAGCGAGCGCAGGUGGUUUAAUAAGUCUGAUGUAAAAGGCAGUGGCUCAACCAUUGUGUGCAUUGGAAACUGUUAGACUUGAGUGCAGUAGAGGAGAGUGGAAUUCCAUGUGUAGCGGUGAAAUGCGUAGAUAUAUGGAGGAACACCGGUGGCGAAAGCGGCUCUCUGGACUGUCACUGACACUGAGGCUCGAAAGCGUGGGUAGCAAACAGGAUUAGAUACCCUGGUAGUCCACGCCGUAAACGAUGAGUGCUAGUUGUUUGGGGCUAUCCAGCCCUAAGUGACGCAGCAAACGCAUUAAG
rnacentral:rRNA from 1 species